rnacentral:rRNA from 1 species
GCAAAACGCGAAGAACCUUACCAAGGCUUGACAUACACCGGAAACAUCCAGAGAUGGGUGCCCCCUUGUGGUCGGUGUACAGGUGGUGCAUGGCUGUCGUCAGCUCGUGUCGUGAGAUGUUGGGUUAAGUCCCGCAACGAGCGCAACCCUUGUCCCGUGUUGCCAGCAGGCCCUUGUGGUGCUGGGGACUCACGGGAGACCGCCGGGGUCAACUCGGAGGAAGGUGGGGACGACGUCAAGUCAUCAUGCCCCUUAUGUCUUGGGCUGCACACGUGCUACAAUGGCCGGUACAAGAGCUGCGAUACCGUGAGGUGGAGCGAAUCUCAAAAAGCCGGUCUCAGUUCGGAUUGGGGUCUGCAACUCGACCCCAUGAAGUCGGAAUCGCUAGUAAUCGCGAAUCAGAAUGUCGCGGUGAAUACGUUCCCGGGUCUUGUACACACCG